GACCUCAGAUCAGACAA
rnacentral:rRNA from 1 species